GACGAACGCUGGCGGCGUGCUUAACACAUGCAAGUCGAACGGAAAGGCCCUGCUUUUGUGGGGUGCUCGAGUGGCGAACGGGUGAGUAACACGUGAGUAACCUGCCCUUGACUUUGGGAUAACUUCAGGAAACUGGGGCUAAUACCGGAUAGGAGCUCCUGCUGCAUGGUGGGGGUUGGAAAGUUUCGGCGGUUGGGGAUGGACUCGCGGCUUAUCAGCUUGUUGGUGGGGUAGUGGCUUACCAAGGCUUUGACGGGUAGCCGGCCUGAGAGGGUGACCGGGGGAGAGGGGAGGAGGAGGGGGCCCAGAGACAAGCGGGAGGGGGCAGGGGGGAAGCUGGGAGAAGGGAGGGGCGUGUGCGGAGACACGGCGGAGUGCGGGCGGAGGGCCGUCGGGUGGGAGAGCGUGGGCGGCUGUGAGGAGGAGUGAGGGAGGGUGAUGGGAAAAGAGGCAACGGCAAAAGACGUGACAGCAGCCGAGUGAAGAAGAGGAGCAGCACACGGAUGGUC
rnacentral:rRNA from 1 species